rnacentral:rRNA from 1 species
UACGUAGGGUGCAAGCGUUGUCCGGAAUUAUUGGGCGUAAAGAGCUCGUAGGCGGUUUGUCGCGUCUGCUGUGAAAACUCGGGGCUUAACUCCGGGCCUGCAGUGGGUACGGGCAGACUAGAGUGCGGUAGGGGAGACUGGAAUUCCUGGUGUAGCGGUGAAAUGCGUAGAGAUCGGGAAGAACACCCGUGGCGAAAGCGGUCUACUGGACUGCAACUGACACUCAGGGACGAAAGCUAGGGGAGCGAAUGGG